UCUCGUUCGCUCUCUCUCUCUCCCCCCUCCCUCUUCUGAACGGCCGCCGAUGCCGCGCUGCCCGUCGUCGCUGCCGCUCUCCUAUCCUUCCCCGCGCCGCCGGCAGCUCCAGCGACUGGCACCCUCUCCCUCUCGUCCUUCCUCCUGCCCCUCUGGGUCGUCCUGCCCCGCGACCCGACCCCGGCCAAACCCUAGACAUCGGAUAGCUCCAAUUCCUCCCUUUCCCUUCCUCUCUCUUCUUUCCUUCGCCCAACGUCCGCUCCAAGCGCCGCCGCCGCCGCUCAAGCCUUACGGCGCCACCGCCACUCUCCCGUCCUUCCUCCCCUGCUCGUUGUUCCGGAAACCCCCUCCACCCUUGUGCCGCACCACGUGCCCGACCCCGAGCCGCCCCCUCCCUUUCCUCUUUCUCCCUCCCCGGACCCCGGCGGCCGCCACGGCUGCCCCCCGUCUUCCAUUCGUCCUCCCUCCCUCCUGCUUUCCAUCUCCCCACUGCUCAACCCUGCGAACGUCCUCGCUGCCUAUGCUUCCUCACGACCCAGCCCUGCCGAACCCUAGACGCUGGCAUACACGCAUUCCACCAGCAGUGGCCACUUGCGUCGGCCAGCCCCGGCAUCAACGAUCAUCCUGCGUGCCGACGCACCGCCACCGCUGCUGAGGUCCUCACUAUCUUCAGCAGGGGCCUCCCCAUCGCCAUUAAUGAGUGGGAGCUGCACAACCUGCUGCUGGUUCCCGACCUCUUGGGAUUCGAGGCCUCUUCGCCUCCGUGCACCAGGACGUCACCACCAAGGUUAGCUUCUGUUUGCUUCUCUCCAUGGCAAGUGACGCUUGGAUGGGUGAGAUUUGACCCUGGUUAUCAUUAAUCUGCAUUAUUUGGGUGUUCGAUGCGGAGAGCAAGCAGUACUGCAAACCAACAUGGCCUAGAAUUCGUUUAGAGAGGUGGGGUUCGUCUACCAAAAUUGUGCACACGUUAUACAUAGUAGUUCUACAUUAUUUAAGGAAAGUUUGAAACUAACUGAUUAGUGUUGCAAUGUUGAGCUUCUAUUUGGUUCAAAAUUCUAUUGGUAGAUACUUGUGAUGUGGAUAAAUUGAGGCUGAUAAAUAAAGUUUGCAGGCUUUAGUGAACAUUGUUGGCCAUCAAUGGAUGAUGUGGUGGGUGUGAGAGUAAGUGUGGGCUAUAGUUUAGGCAUCAAAAAAUUUGUGGAAGUUAAUACUUCUUCAGUGACACAUCAAACUUGAUAGGAAACCCCGUUGUUUAGGUCACACAGGGUCUGUAUCCUGGAUCUACUACUUGAGGAAGGCUUUGUCAUUUUUUAUUUGUUAAACAUACUGGUCUAACAAACUUUCCACGCCUUGAUAACUGUUGGAAUUUUAGUGUGGGCACUGAUGUUCCUGUUCUUUUGUUAAGCUUCUACGGGUAGAAAGGUUUGGACUAUACUUGACAACCUUGGUAUUGAAGUUUUUUUUUCCUGCUACCUGUCAUAUGGCAGGCCUCAACUUCUCUUUUCAGACAUGGAAACAAACUGACAUUUGCCCCAUGUACCAUGUUCAUAGGCAGGACUCUACUUGUCUAUGCAAUGGAUAAUCCAGAUGAAGGAUAAAUAGAUUGCGGUAAUUUCAGAGAAGUUGAGUUCUCAUCUUGUUUUAUUUAAUUUGGUAGAAAAGGAAGUUCCAGCAGUGAAACAAGUACUAGGUGAUGUGCAUUGUCUGGUUGGUGAGAAGGAAAGUGUAGAUACGAUUAUGAUCACACCUGGCACUUGCAUUCUCCCAUCAUCUGGCAACUUCAUUUUGAUUAUUAUAUUUCCAUGCUUCUCUGAUGUGUAUUCUUUAUGCAUUAUUGUCCCUUUCACUGUUAUUUCAGUUUGUGACUUGGAAGGAUAAGGUCCAAAGGGUUACUGUGAUUCAGAAAGAUUUUGUAGAGAAACUUAAUUUCUUGGAAAGUAAAAUCAGUGCUUACCGGUUUGAACUCCGGAAUAUGGCAAGGAUCAUAUAUGAGUUGAAAGAUUGCCUUGAGGUUGAGAAGCGUAACAACAGUUUUAUUCCCCAACUGGAUGAAAUAUCCGUUAACUAAGUUAAAAUAAAUUGCAUAUAUUUGAUCUCCAGUUUCUAUCAAAAUCAUGACAUUUGUUGUUUUGUGCCUUAAUGAUGUUACCUGAAGUCUGAAGAAAGCUUUGCUGUUGAAGGGUGAAAUUAUUGAGAUAUUAACUUCAGAAAAGCAAUGCAUGGGGCUUCACAGCAUCGAGGUUGCUUUACAGAAAUUUCAAGAUUUAUGAAGUAGCAUUGGGCAUGAGGGAACUAUUUUGGGAAGUCUGUACAUAGUGUGAAUAAUGAGCAACCUGAAAGGUGAGUGUUUCAUUAAACAUUCAGCUCUCGUGGUAAUAAAUUUGAUUUUUUUGUUAUGUAACAAUCAGUAUAUGCUACUUGGUGAGGCCAUUAGCAUUCCAGGCACACAAUCUGGUCUAGCCAACAGAUUCUGUGAAUCCGGAUCUUGACUCGGAGAACCAGUCCAGACCCUGCAAUUUGGAUCCCUUCGCAGCAUGAGUUGGAUACACAAAGUUGCACAUUCUAGUGGCCAAUAGUCGCAGCACAUUUGUCCUGUACUCAUAGUUGAUCAUCCUUAUAUUUUGUGAGCUGAUCAUCCCGUGACCUUUUAGGUAGCCACUAAAGAGAGAUGCCAUGUAAUUUGAGAUGCUUUGUACACGUUUUGGAUUCUGUUAGCUUGCUGUGUUAAGUGUUAACGGUAUUGUUGUACAUUGUAGUUCGUUGAACAUCAAUCUUUUUAAUGAAAGUUUUACAUAACUGGUCAGAA